CUCCAGGUGACGAGUCCCAAAUAGGACGAAAUGCGCGUCCUGGAU
rnacentral:hammerhead_ribozyme from 1 species